UGCAAGUCGAACGGUGAAGCAGAGCUUGCUCUGUGGAUCAGUGGCGAACGGGUGAGUAACACGUGAGCAAUCUGCCCCUGACUCUGGGAUAAGCGCUGGAAACGGCGUCUAAUACCGGAUACGAGCUGCGAAGGCAUCUUCAGCAGUUGGAAAGAAUUUCGGUCAGGGAUGAGCUCGCGGCCUAUCAGCUUGUUGGUGAGGUAAUGGCUCACCAAGGCGUCGACGGGUAGCCGGCCUGAGAGGGUGACCGGCCACACUGGGACUGAGACACGGCCCAGACUCCUACGGGAGGCAGCAGUGGGGAAUAUUGCACAAUGGGCGCAAGCCUGAUGCAGCAACGCCGCGUGAGGGAUGACGGCCUUCGGGUUGUAAACCUCUUUUAGCAAGGAAGAAGCGAAAGUGACGGUACUUGCAGAAAAAGCGCCGGCUAACUACGUGCCAGCAGCCGCGGUAAUACGUAGGGCGCAAGCGUUAUCCGGAAUUAUUGGGCGUAAAGAGCUCGUAGGCGGUUUGUCGCGUCUGCUGUGAAAACUGGAGGCUCAACCUCCAGCCUGCAGUGGGUACGGGCAGACUAGAGUGCGGUAGGGGAGAUUGGAAUUCCUGGUGUAGCGGUGGAAUGCGCAGAUAUCAGGAGGAACACCGAUGGCGAAGGCAGAUCUCUGGGCCGUAACUGACGCUGAGGAGCGAAAGGGUGGGGAGCAAACAGGCUUAGAUACCCUGGUAGUCCACCCCGUAAACGUUGGGAACUAGUUGUGGGGUCCAUUCCACGGAUUCCGUGACGCAGCUAACGCAUUAAGUUCCCCGCCUGGGGAGUACGGCCGCAAGGCUAAAACUCAAAGGAAUUGACGGGGA
rnacentral:rRNA from 1 species